AUUGAACGCUAGCGGGAUGCUUUACACAUGCAAGUCGAACGGCAGCACGAAAAGAGCUUGCUCUUUUUGGUGGCGAGUGGCGAACGGGUGAGUAAUGUAUCGGAACGUACCCAGUAGCGGGGGAUAACUACGCGCAAGCGUGGCUAAUACCGCAUACGCCCUACGGGGGAAAGGGGGGGAUCGCAAGACCUCUCCCUAUUGGAGCGGCCGAUAUCGGAUUAGCUAGUUGGUGGGGUAAAGGCUCACCAAGGCAACGAUCCGUAGCUGGUUUGAGAGGACGACCAGCCACACUGGGACUGAGACACGGCCCAGACUCCUACGGGAGGCAGCAGUGGGGAAUGUUGGACAAUGGGGGAAACCCUGAUCCAGCCAUCCCGCGUGUGCGAUGAAGGCCUUCGGGUUGUAAAGCACUUUUGGCAGGGAAGAAACGGCGCUGACUAAUACAUGGCGCAACUGACGGUACCUGCAGAAUAAGCACCGGCUAACUACGUG
rnacentral:rRNA from 1 species